rnacentral:rRNA from 1 species
CCCGACUGCUAUUUGGGUGAGAAUAAGCCAUGCGAGUUGAAUGGGAUACCUAAAGUUCCCAUAGCAAACUGCUCAGUAACACAUGAUCAACUUACCCUAUAGAGAAAAAUAACCUCGGGAAACUGAGGAUAAUAUUUCAUAAUUGAAUUGGCUUGGAAAAGUUUCCAAUGAAAAGGAUAAAAAAAAUGGUUUUUAUCUGCUAUAGGAUAGGAUCGUGUUCGAUUAUGGUUGUUGGUGAGAUAAUGGCUCACCAAGCCGAUAAUCGAUAGGGGCCGUGAGAGCGGGAGCCCCGAGAUGGGUACUGAGACAACGACCCAGGCCUUACGAGGCGCAGCAGGCGCGGAACCUCCGCAAUACACGAAAGUGUGACGGGGUUACCCAAAGUGUUCAAUAGAACUGUGGUAGGUGAGUAAUGUUCCCUACUAGAGAGGAGAGGGCAAGGCUGGUGCCAGCCGCCGCGGUAAAACCAGCUCUUCAAGUGGUCGGGAUAAUAUUGGGCUUAAAGUGUCCGUAGCCGGUUUAGCAAGUUCCUGGUAAAAUCAGGUAGCUUAACUAUCUGCAUGCUAGGAAUACUGCUAUACUAGAGGGCGGGAGAGGUCUGAGGUACUACAGGGGUAGGGGUGAAAUCUUAUAAUCCUUGUAGGACCACCAGUGGCGAAGGCGUCAGACUGGAACGCGCCUGACGGUGAGGGACGAAAGCCAGGGGAGCGAACCGGAUUAGAUACCCGGGUAGUCCUGGCCGUAAACGAUGCAUACUAGGUGAUGGUACGGUCAUGAGCCGUAUCAGUGCCGUAGGGAAACCGUUAAGUGUGCCGCCUGGGAAGUACGGUCGCAAGGCUAAAACUUAAAGGAAUUGGCGGGGGAGCACCACAAGGGGUGAAGCCUGCGGUUCA